rnacentral:rRNA from 1 species
UACGUAGGGGGCAAGCGUUGUCCGGAUUUAUUGGGCGUAAAGAGCGUGUAGGCGGCCUGGAAGGUCAGCUGUGAAAACUCGAGGCUCAACCUCGAGACGUCGGUUGAAACCACCUGGCUAGAGUCCGGAAGAGGAGAGUGGAAUUCCCGGUGUAGCGGUGAAAUGCGCAGAUAUCGGGAAGAACACCCGUGGCGAAAGCGGCUCUCUGGAACGGUACUGACGCUGAGACGCGAAAGCGUGGGGAGCGAACAGG